rnacentral:misc_RNA from 1 species
CCGAGUUUACAACUCCCAAACCCAUGUGAACAUACCUCUCGUUGCUUCGGCGGAUCAGCCCGCUCUGCCCGGUAAACCAGGGACGGCCCGCCAGAGGUACCCUAAACUCUUGUCUUCAUAUAUGUAACUUCUGAGUGCAAACCAUAAAUAAAUCA